GGCCCAGAUCGUUUACCGUGAAAAAAUUAGAGUGUUCAAAGCAGGCAGAUCCAAUUUUCUGCCACCGAAUACAUUAGCAUGGGAUAAUGGAAUAGGACCCUGUCCUCCUAUUUUCAGUUGGUUUUGGCAGCGCGAGGACUAGGGUAAUGAUUAAUAGGGAUAGUUGGGGGCAUUAAUAUUUAAUUGUCAGAGGUGAAAUUCUUGGAUUUAUGAAAGAUUAACUUCUGCGAAAGCAUCUGCCAAGGAUGUUUUCAUUAAUCAAGAACGAAAGUUAGGGGAUCGAAGACGAUCAGAUACCGUCGUAGUCUUAACCAUAAGCGAUGCCGACCAGCGAUUAGGAGACGUUGAAUACAAAACACCACCAUCGGUGCGGUCGUCCUUGGCGUCUCGGUCCUUCACGGGGCCGGGGCGCGGGGGUGGCUUAGCCCGGUGGCACCGGUGAAUGACUCCCCUAGCAGCUUGUGAGA
rnacentral:rRNA from 1 species